AUUGAACGCUGGCGGCAUGCUUUACACAUGCAAGUCGAACGGCAGCGCGGGCUUCGGCCUGGCGGCGAGUGGCGAACGGGUGAGUAAUACAUCGGAACGUGCCCAGUAGUGGGGGAUAGCUCGGCGAAAGCCGGAUUAAUACCGCAUACGACCUGAGGGUGAAAGCGGGGGAUCUUCGGACCUCGCGCUAUUGGAGCGGCCGAUGGCAGAUUAGCUAGUUGGUGGGGUAAAGGCCUACCAAGGCGGCGAUCUGUAGCUGGUCUGAGGGGACGACCAGCCACACUGGGACUGAGACACGGCCCAGACUCCUACGGGAGGCAGCAGUGGGGAAUUUUGGACAAUGGGCGAAAGCCUGAUCCAGCAAUGCCGCGUGUGUGAUGAAGGCCUUCGGGUUGUAAAGCACUUUUGGCGGGAACGAAAAGGACUGUGCCAAUACCACGGUUCGAUGACGGUACCCGCAGAAUAAGCACCGGCUAACUACGUG
rnacentral:rRNA from 1 species